CUACGGGUGGCACCAGUGGGGAAUAUUGCACAAUGGGCGCAAGCCUGAUGCAGCAACGCCGCGUGAGGGAUGAAGGCCUUCGGGUUGUAAACCUCUUUUAGCAGGGAAGAAGCGAAAGUGACGGUACCUGCAGAAAAAGCACCGGCUAACUACGUGCCAGCAGCCGCGGUAAUACGUAGGGUGCAAGCGUUGUCCGGAAUUAUUGGGCGUAAAGAGCUCGUAGGCGAUUUGUCACGUCUGCUGUGAAAAUCCAAGGCUCAACCUUGGACUUGCAGUGGGUACGGGCAGGCUAGAGUGCGGUAGGGGAGAUGGGAAUUCCUGGUGUAGCGGUGGAAUGCGCAGAUAUCAGGAGGGACACCAAUGGCGAAGGCACAUCUCUGGGCCGUAACUGACGCUGAGGAGCGAAAGCGUGGGGAGCGAACAGGAUUAGAUACCCGCGUAGUC
rnacentral:rRNA from 1 species